CAAGUCUACUAUGCCAAUAGGUAUUGAUAUAGCUAUACUGAGACGUCUAGUUUCACAUAAGUGACCACUUCCGAAUCUAGCCCGUUUAGUGUAACGAAUCACUAACCAACGUAUCGUAUAGCCGGUGCGAAUGCAUACAUACAUCCAUUCAUCUCGAAAGACGAUGCGUUUAUAAAUGGUAAAUUAUAUGUUAUAUUCGGAUAAAAUGGAAAAUAUGCAACGUCUUUCCGACUUAUCGAUCGUCCGUCACAGCAAACAACUGUUUGUAAGUAGUAUAAAAAUGCCGAUCCUGGUGCUGGUGCUGGUGUCAUAUCCCCGCCACUAAACGCAGCUGCUCGGUACUCCACCCCCGUCGCAGCCCGCACCGCUCGAUACUCCUUAUUAUACCACGUAACCCA